rnacentral:snRNA from 2 species
AGCUUUGCGCAGUGGCAUUACCGUAGCUGAUGAGGUCCAUCUAAGGCGCGGUUAUUGCUGAUUGAAACCUUUUCCCAAUACCCCGCUAGACGACUUCAAACAUAGUCGGCUUUGCAAUUUUUUUGGCCCUACUUAGA